UUAGGUUUGCUGGCUGACACCAGUCAGAAUGGUAGGACUCCAAGUGAUGUGAUGGUCCUAAAAUUGAAUGGAUGAAAUCACCUAGGAAAUGGUCUCAGUAUGUCUUGGGGGUCCAGAGGAAUAAGUUGCAGGUUGGAUGACAAGGAAAUGACCAUGAUGAAUGCUUGAUGAAAUAUGAAGGAUGGUUUAGAAUAUGACUGCUACGGAAAGUGAUAGAAGAUUAUGAUCAGUAUUAUCUUGUAAAGCAAGGAAACCUCCAGGAGAAAAACUUGUAAAGAAAUUGGUGAAACUCAGCUAAAACAAAUCAUCCCAACAUUAACAUAUGAAUAUAAAUUUAUUGUUAACCAUCAAUUAAACAUCUACUAAGUUCUAGGUACUAUCCCUAUAAGGAUGAACCUAGAAGGACAACAAAAAGGCAAGCUGCAAAAUAGAUUGUUUGGGGAAUUUCUAUAGUUUCUAUAUAAUCUUGUCAAUGAGAGUAGAAUCACUGAUAUUGAACUUUACUCAGCGGGAUGCAAGUCAAUGUCAAUGACAUUAAAAAAGCUGAAGGUGGGAAGAAUGGUGAGACAAGUAAUAUGUAAAGAAAAGAAAGAUAUAUUUAAAGCCAUUAAUUAUAGAUGAACUAGAUGGCAAAUGGUUAGAGCAAUCAGGAAGAUCUGCAUUCAAAUUCAACCUUAGACAUUUACUGGCUGUGUGAUCCCAAGCCAGUAAUGUAAUCUAUCUGCCUCAGUCUCCUUAACUGUAAAAUGGAGGUAAUAGUAUCUACAUCCUAGGGUUGUUGUGAGGAUCAGAUGAGUUAAUAAUUGUAAAGUGCUUAGCCUAGUGUUUGGCACAUAGUACUGUAUAAUAUAAAUGUUUGCUAUUAAUGUUAUUGUUAUUGUUGUUACACAGCUUUAAAGGUGCUUAAAUGGACCUUCAAGGUAUAUUGAAGAAGGAAAAAAUUCUAAAUGGUUGAAAAAGAACAGAGCUACUAUUUUAUCAAAAGAGAUUUAAAAAUAUCAACAGUCCAAAACAUAAGUCUGUUUUAUCUCUAUUCAGUCCUCAUGAGAAUGAAGCAAGAAGAUUGCCCUGUUCAAAAGUCAUCAGUAGCAUCCUUUUACCAGUCAAAAUAAAUUACAAAGGGAUUGCUAAUAACCUGAUGAUCAUUGCUACUAAGGUGAGGAUUGCAGUUGUCUAUAACCCUUCUGGGGGUAAUGUAUAUCAAUGUUAAGAUGGGGAGAGUUGUCUCAUGUAAGAACUGUCAGAGUAACUGUU
rnacentral:lncRNA from 1 species